rnacentral:rRNA from 1 species
UACGGAGGGGGCUAGCGUUAUUCGGAAUUACUGGGCGUAAAGCGCACGUAGGCGGCUUUGUAAGUAAGAGGUGAAAGCCCGGAGCUCAACUCCGGAACUGCCUUUUAGACUGCAUCGCUUGAAUCCAGGAGAGGUGAGUGGAAUUCCGAGUGUAGAGGUGAAAUUCGUAGAUAUUCGGAAGAACACCAGUGGCGAAGGCGGCUCACUGGACUGGUAUUGACGCUGAGGUGCGAAAGCUAGGGGAGCAAACGGG